rnacentral:rRNA from 1 species
AACGAAUGCUGGCGGCAGGCCUAACACAUGCAAGUCGAACGAGAAGCACACUUCGGUGUGUGGAAAGUGGCAGACGGGUGAGUAACAUGUGGGAAUCUACCCAGAGGUACGGAAUAAUGCAGGGAAACUUGUACUAAUACCGUAUGUGCCCCUUCGGGGGGAAAGCGUUAUGUAGCGCCUUUGGAUGAGCCCGCACUGGAUUAGGUAGUUGGUAGGGUAACGGCCUACCAAGCCUACGAUCUAUAGCUGGUCUGAGAGGAUGAUCAGCCACACUGGAACUGAGACACGGUCCAGACUCCUACGGGAGGCAGCAGUGGGGAAUAUUGCACAAUGGGCGCAAGCCUGAUGCAGCCAUGCCGCGUGAGUGAAGAAGGCCCUAGGGUUGUAAAACUCUUUCGCCAGGGAAGAUAAUGACGGUACCUGGUAAAGAAGCCCCGCC